ensembl:lncRNA
GAAGUACUAAACCCUACCAUUAUAAGGAAUAAAGGAAAUCAGUGGGAAAGAACUCAGAGAUAGAAACAGUUCCUCAACCUGAUAUCACUUGGGGAUGUGCAUGGGAAUAUUUAAAUAAUUUUCAUUUGUACCUGCCCGCGAUAUUAUCUACCAAAUUAAAUUGGUGCUAUUUCCCCCAAAAUAUAAAUAAACUAGUAAUCUAAUUUAAUCUAGAGCAAGCCGGACUUUUAUGUUAAUAAGCAUGGUGUUUAUUUCAGCUUCGUAUCUAACCGCUUACUCUCACCUGCAUGAAAGUUAAAACCUCCUGCCUGCACGAAUUAUCCAUCUCGACCACAUUAUCUGUUCAGUCUGAAUCAUGUAUGCCUAUUCAGAUACAUUCCUAAUAUACAUCAUGAUUCUAUAUUUAUGUUCGCUUAAAUGCUUUCAAAAUGCCAGGAACAAAAAAACAAAAAAUGGUGCAACAAUAAAAUAUGUGGAAGAAUAUAACUACAAAUAUCAACUGUACAAAGGAACACAUAACACAUUUGUACAUAACUCAUUUAUAAUUAAAACAACAGCCCCGACAGCUUUCUGUUCUUUUCUCAGCGCAGGUUUACAUGCUGAAAUUCUUGCCUGGAGUAAUCUCAUACAUGCUAGGAAUGUAGUGACUAGAGAUUAAAACUGAGAGAGAGACCAACGCUGGACUAUUGCUUUAACAAGGAAAAAAGAAAAGAAAUGGAACAUUUGGCAUGAAAACACCGUAUCGGAUGCUUAUUACUGAGCGUCCUGAUUUCCCAAGACCCCGUGCUGUGAUGUUCGGGAACGAGAAAGCCCUGAUGAAACUCUUCUCCUUCCUCCAUUCUGGCUCGCCCGAACAUCCCUGCAGAGAGAUGCUCAGACGCGCUGGUUGGUGGGUUGCGGUGGAAAAAUUGGAAAGGCGCAGAAGGUGAGAUUAAAUUAGGUGUGUGUAUAGGGAUUACAGCAAGCUAGCACGCUGAUCUCCUCCUACGCUCUCCUAAUCCAGACGUAAUGAAUAUCUCGCUCAGGGCACCGCGUACCACACAAUUUUCACAAUGCGUGUACCUGCCAAUCCCGCAACAGAGCACACUCUCACACCUUCCUAUCAUUCGUACGGUGUUCGCACAGCAAGUUUAUCUGAACAUGCAUUUAGAUCUCAUCCUGGGGAUUAACGUAGGAACCACGCAAACAUCCGUUCCACACUAAUUUGGAUCACGGUCAAUCAAUCAGUCAAUCAAUUCUCACAUAGGAAUAUGACCAAAUCUGAAGUGCCAUGCAGAGUUAGGCCAAGGUUAUCCAUUUUGUAUCAUCUUGACAGAUUCUGUCCAACUCUCCUCCUACAUUUCUAGUUAAGCCACCCACUUGUACACAUUUUUAUCCCAAGCCAAGAUAUUCAUCCACCCCAGGAACACGUUACACACACAUGAUUCAUUAUUCCAGUUUGGCAGUGGGACGUGUACUAGCUCCUGUGUGUGAAAAAAAAAAAGACAUCAAAAUGUUUCGUGAAUCAUAAAACAAAACAAAAUAAAGGUCAUGUAAAUGUAUCACAGUAAAAUGCAGUAUUUUUAAUAGAUUUGAAUUUUAUAGAUAUGUUUUAGCAUUCUAC